UUAGGCUAAUUUUAUGUUUUUCUCUUAAUUCUUUAGUUUUAUAAAAUUCUAGUUAAAAAUAGGUUUUUAGAUGUAAUUUUUAGUUGUUAAUUAGUAAGAAAAUUAUAUUUUUUUUAGAAAAUCUUUAAUAAAAUUCUUUCUUUUUGAUUGUUAGAUUUUUUUUAAUUGUUGAUGGCCUUAAUUCAUUUUUUUAUAUUGCAGAAUGAACCCUUACAAAUUGGGCUGGUGAUGUUGUUUGAAGAAGUGCACUACUACUGCCUUCAAUUGGAAUGGGCUGAUUUUUAAUUGGGCAUUGAAAAGCAUUUGGGUUGAUGGUUGCGGUUGGAAAAACACUUGGGCCCUGGAACACUACACUUGAUUCCAAAUUGCACUGAAGUGCUGAAAACGCUUUUGAACUGCACUGUUGGGUUGCUGGAAACGACUGCGUUUUGGGAAAACUGCUGUUGCAAACGUUGGUGGGCUGAAAUCUAAUUAGUGAUGCGGAGCGUUUUGGUGCACUAUUGCCUUAGGGGUUCUUGGCGGGAGCACUUCAUUUGGAGAAAGAAAAGAAAAGCACUUCCCUUCGAGCUAAGCUAGGGCUCCCAUGAGUGAAGAGAGUUGAAGAGAGGAGCACAUCACCUGCCCGGAGAAGAUGACCGGAGCUGACCAGUGAGAAAGAAGAGCUGACCGGAGCUGCCACGUGGAGAGCUCGAAGCGUCACAGCAAGCAACCCCCACCCUAUUUUCAUCCAAUUUGUGAGCAGCAACCUUGGAACCAAUAUGAGGAGCCAAAGCAAGAGGAUUUCCAAUCACUGUAGCCAUGGCAGG
rnacentral:sRNA from 1 species